GACGAACGCUGGUGGCGUGCUUAACACAUGCAAGUCGAACGGAAAGGCCCUGCUUUUGUGGGGUGCUCGAGUGGCGAACGGGUGAGUAACACGUGAGUAACCUGCCCUUGACUUUGGGAUAACUUCAGGAAACUGGGGCUAAUACCGGAUAGGAGCUCCUGCUGCAUGGUGGGGGUUGGAAAGUUUCGGCGGUUGGGGAUGGACUCGCGGCUUAUCAGCUUGUUGGUGGGGUAGUGGCUUACCAAGGCUUUGACGGGUAGCCGGCCUGAGAGGGUGACCGGGCACAUUGGGACUGAGAUACGGCCCAGACGCCUACGGGAGGCAGCAGUGGGGAAUCUUGCACAAUGGGCGGAAGCCUGAUGCAGCAACGCCGCGUGCGUGAUGACGGCUUUCGGGUGGUAAACCGCUUUCGCCUGUGACGAAGCGUGAGUGACGGUAAUGGGUCAAGAAGCACCGGCUAACUACGUG
rnacentral:rRNA from 1 species